UACAGAGGGGUGCGAGCGUUAAUCGGAAUUACUGGGCGUAAAGCGCACGUAGUCGGCUUUGCAAGUCGGGUGUGAAAUCCCCCGGGCUCAACCUGGGAACUGCAUCCGAGACUGCAUUGCUAGAGUAUGGGAGAGGGAAGCGGAAUUUCUGGUGUAGCAGUGAAAUGCGUAGAUAUCAGAAGGAACAUCAGUGGCGAAGGCGGCUUCCUGGACCAAUACUGACGAUCAGGUGCGAAAGCGUGGGGAGCAAACAGG
rnacentral:rRNA from 1 species